rnacentral:rRNA from 1 species
UCUUCGGAUGCUGACGAGUGGCGAACGGGUGAGUAAUACAUCGGAACGUNNNCAGUANNNNNNGAUAGCUCGGNNNAAGCCGGAUUAAUACCGCAUACGCCCUGAGGGGGAAAGUGGGGGACCGCAAGGCCUCACGUUAUUGGAGCGGCCGAUGGCUGAUUAGCUAGUUGGUAGGGUAAAGGCCUACCAAGGCGACGAUCAGUAGCUGGUCUGAGAGGACGAUCAGCCACACUGGGACUGAGACACGGCCCAGACUCCUACGGGAGGCAGCAGUGGGGAAUUUUGGACAAUGGGGGAAACCCUGAUCCAGCAAUGCCGCGUGUGCGAAGAAGGCCUUCGGGUUGUAAAGCACUUUUGUCAGGGAAGAAAUCCUUUGGGCUAAUACCCUAGGGGGAUGACGGUACCUGAAGAAUAAGCACCGGCUAACUACGUGCCAGCAGCCGCGGUAAUACGUAGGGUGCAAGCGUUAAUCGGAAUUACUGGGCGUAAAGCGUGCGCAGGCGGUUGUGUAAGACGGGUGUGAAAUCCCCGGGCUUAACCUGGGAAUUGCAUUUGUGACUGCACGACUAGAGUGUGUCAGAGGGGGGUGGUAUUCCACGUGUAGCAGUGAAAUGCGUAGAUAUGUGGAGGAACACCAAUGGCGAAGGCAGCCCCCUGGGAUAACACUGACGCUCAUGCACGAAAGCGUNNGGAGCAAACAGGAUUAGAUACCCUGGUAGUCCACGCCCUAAACGAUGUCAACUAGUUGUUGGGGAUUUACUUCCUUGGUAACGUAGCUAACGCGUGAAGUUGACCGCCUGGGGAGUACGGCCGCAAGGUUAAAACUCAA